rnacentral:rRNA from 1 species
AUGGUGUCGGACUCGGAGCUGGUGGAGCGGCUGCGGGAGGUGCUGCGGGAGUCGGACCUCACCACCACCACCACCGGCGCCCUGCGCCGCCGCCUCGAGGAGGACUUCGGCGUCGACCUCUCCGACAAGAAGACCUUCGUCCGGGAGCAGGUCGACCUCCUGCUCUCCGAGUUCGCCGACAAGGCCGAGCCCGAGGAUGCGCCCGCGGAGGAGGAGGAUCCGGAGGAGGUGACGCCGGAGGCCGGGGAAGGAGGGGAGGAGAAGGGCGAGGGGGAGGAGGAGGGGGCCGAGCAGCAGGAGGGGGAGGAGGAAGAAGAGGAGGAAGAGGAGGAGGAGGAGGAGGAAGACGAGGAGAGUGGCGGCGGCCGGAAGAAGAAGCGGCGGAUAUGCGUCGGCACUGUGCAUUCGCGUGUGAUAUCUUUGCCCGAACAGUGGUUGGGUGACGGCAAGAAAAAGGCUGGUGGCUUUACAAAGUUAUGCAGCAUUUCCCCAGCACUUCAAGAGUUUGUCGGUGCCUCUGAGUGUGCCAGGACAGAGGUUGUCAAGAAGCUUUGGGCAUAUAUUCGAGAAAAUAAUUUGCAAGACCCAAGCAAUAGGAGGAAGAUUCUUUGUGAUGAGAAUCUGAAGAAGAUUUUUAACGUCAAUUCGAUUGAUAUGUUCCAAAUGAAUAAAGCUUUGACCAGGCACAUUUGGCCAUUGGAUUCUGAUGGUCCCGUCUCACCAAAGAAAUCGACACCCAAGGAGAAGUCGACACCCAAGGAGAAGUCGACACCCAAAGGGAAGCCUCAAAAGAGAGACAGAAGUGAAGGAAACAAGCAAAAAGGUGGAUCAUCUGGGUCUACUUCUGGUCUUCUUGCGCCCCUUGUACUUUCGGAUGAUUUAGCAAAAUUUAUCGGCACUGGUGAGAGUAUGUUGUCACGAUCUGAUGUUGUGAAGAGAAUGUGGGAUUAUAUAAAAGAGAAUAACUUACAGGAUCCUUCUGACCGGAGGAAAAUAAUCUGCGACGAGAAGCUGAAGGAUCUAUUCCAAGUUGAAUCAUUCACUGGAUUCACGGUGUCGAAGCUGCUGAACCCCCAUUUUACAAAGGCAAAGUAG